rnacentral:sRNA from 1 species
ACUUUGCUAUAAAUAAACCCUGGCAUGAAUACAUUUUCUUUCAGCAAGAGCUGAUCUACUUCACAUUCAGCAGACAGGGAAGUGGGGAACACACUGCAAACCUCAGCCUUCUACUCCAGAGAUGCAAUGAGGUCCAGCUUUGGGUGGCCACGGAGAUUCUGCUCUGCAGCCAGCUGGGCAAGCGAGUGCAGCUGGUGAAAAAAUUCAUCAAAAUUGCGGCUCACUGCAAAGCCCAGAGAAACCUGAAUUCUUUCUUUGCCAUUGUGAUGGGUCUCAACACUGCUUCUGUCAGUCGACUGUCGCAGACCUGGGAGGUGAGCCUUGGAGUCCCAUGGUGAGGGGCACAUAAAAUGGAAAUAAAGUAACUUACAUGGAUUAAAUGAGAUAAGUACUACUAAACUAAAAAUGUUUGAAAGUCAUAUGUCAAGGUGGUAGGGAUCUUUUUGAUCAAAUGGUCUUUAAACGGUUGUAUAAUGUGUCUGAACUAGAUAAAAAUGGUAACGUGCUCCCCAGCUAGAAUUAGUCUUCCCCUCUGUCCUGCCUGAUAGUGCAGUUCUCGUUCCAGGCUGGUCCCCGCAGUCU